CGCCGUGAGACGGAAUCUGAAGGAAGUCAUAGGCAAACAUCUGACCUGACGGACAGAAAUCUGAUAUAAGGCUUUACAUGGGGAUUAGAUGGCCAAUGGCAUCAAAGUCCUAUAACUAUCCGAAACCAUGUGUAGUAAAUCAGGCAGGUAUAAGAUGGAAAGA
rnacentral:ncRNA from 1 species